GGCAGGUUUAUUUGAACAGUGAGAGACAGAAUAACAACAAAAAAAUCCAGAAAAGUUAUAAAAUGAGGGAAAUAAGUAUUUGACCCCUCUGCAAAACAUGACUUAGUACAUGGUGGCAAAACCCUUGUUGGCAAUCACAGAGGUCAGACGUUUCUUGUAGUUGGCCACCAGGUUUGCACACAUCUCAGGAGGGAUUUUGUCCCACUCCUCUUUGCAGAUCUUCUCCAAGUCAUUAAGGUUUCGAGGCUGACGUUUGGCAACUCGAACCUUCAGCUCCCUCCACAGAUUUUCUGUGGGAUUAAGGUCUGGAGACUGGCUAGGCCACUCCAGGACCUUAAUGUGCUUCUUCUUGAGCCACUCCUUUGUUGCCUUGGCCGUGUGUUUUGGGUCAUUGGCCAUUUACCCAUACACAAUCCAUGUAUCAAGGCUUGAAAAUCCUUCUUUAACUUGUCUCCUCACUUUCAUCUACACUGAUUUGAAGUGGAUUUAACAGGUGAAACAUCAAUAAGGGAUCAUAGCGCUCACCUGGAUUCACCUGGUCAGUCUGUCAUGGAAAUAAUCUAAUCCUAAUGUCUUGUCAGCUCAGUGAGCACAUGUGUGCUGAGGUGCAGAGAAUCAGAGCAGGUGGUCAGUCCUGUUAGAAUCAGAGCAGGAGGUCAGUCCUGUUAGAAUCAGAGCAGGUGGUCAGUCCUGUUGGAAUCAGAGCAGGUGGUCAGUCCUGUUAGGGAUAGAAUCAGAGCAGGAGGUCAGUCCUGUUCGAAUCAGAGCAGGUGGUCAGUCCUGUUAGAAUCAGAGCAGGUGGUCAGUCCUGUU
rnacentral:lncRNA from 1 species